rnacentral:lncRNA from 1 species
ACCUGAAUUUGCUAGAAAAGAUUCUUGAUUUUCUUGACAAAAAUGGAUUGGAUUCCUCCAUUUAGACUGCCACUAAUUCCACUUCACCUUAUACAAGGUACUUACAUCUGAUUCUUUUGUAAGUUGUGACUACAAUUUUUUACUUUUCUACUUUCUUUUAAUGCUUUAUUUUUGUAUGGAUGUGCUCUAUUUUAUUAAUUUGCCAAGGUAAAGUUUUGACCUUUAUUAGUGUUGAAACCUGGCUGUGAUUGUGAGGCUUAUCUGGAAGAUAUUGAAGCUAAAACUAAAUGCAAGCUUCAGAAAUUAGAGGGUUUACUUAGUAGUUAUCCUCUUCCACCUUAAUUAUGUUGUAUCCAGAUGGAAAGGUGUUUAUUAAAGAUUACUGCUGAACUAUGCUCAUUUUGGUCAAUAUUUCAAAAGAGUUCUUGAUAAUGUUGUAACUUGUGGCAUUAUGGAAGCAAAUGUUUCAAUGAAGCAAAACUUCUAGAGGAACCUCAUCUUUCUGUUGUCCUCUACUUGCGUGUUCAUGCACUUUCCACCAAGUUAUCAUCAUAUUCAGGUUCUGUUUUUCCUUGUUCUUGAUGUCAUUUCCGUAUAUUAUCUCAUUUAGUAGCUAUUUGAUCUGUUUGAUGAACAAGUCACUUUGAUGAAUGAUAAUUGGAUUUUCUUUUCAAAAUCUGUUUCUUCUGUACAUCUUCGUCUAUAAUUUAUUUGUUCAAUCUUUUGGUACAAACUAAAUGUUGUUAUCUGCAUUCCUCUUUUUCUUUUGAAG